rnacentral:rRNA from 1 species
CAUUACCGAGUUGAUUCGAGUUCCGGCUUC